rnacentral:rRNA from 1 species
CCUACGGGAGGCAGCAGUGGGGGAUAUUGCACAAUGGGGGAAACCCUGAUGCAGCGACGCCGCGUGUGGGAAGACGGUCCUCUGGAUUGUAAACCUCUGUCAGCAGGGAAGAACGGUCACUGUGCUAAUCAGCAGUGAAUUGACGGUACCUGCAAAGGAAGCACCGGCUAACUCCGUGCCAGCAGCCGCGGUAAUACGGAGGGUGCGAGCGUUAAUCGGAAUUACUGGGCGUAAAGCGCUCGUAGGCGGUAUGUCAAGUCAAGGGUGAAAUCCCCGCGCUCAACGUGGGAACUGCCUUUGAAACUGGCAAACUGGAGUGUGUGAGAGGAUAGUGGAAGUCCAGGUGUAGGAGUGAAAUCCGUAGAUAUCUGGAGGAACAUCAGUGGCGAAGGCGACUAUCUGGCACAUAACUGACGCUGAGGAGCGAAAGCGUGGGUAGCAAACAGGAUUAGAUACCCCAGUAGUC